rnacentral:tRNA from 1 species
GGGGCUAUAGCUCAGGUGGUAGAGCGCUUGGAUCGCACCCAAGAGGUCUGGAGUUCGACUCUCCAUAGCUCCA